rnacentral:rRNA from 1 species
CACGUAGGGCGCAAGCGUUGUCCGGAAUUAUUGGGCGUAAAGAGCUCGUAGGUGGUUUGUUACGUCUGCUGUGAAAACCUAGGGCUUAACCCUGGGCUUGCAGUGGAUACGGGCAGACUAGAGGUAGGUAGGGGAGAAUGGGAAUUCCUGGUGUAGCGGUGAAAUGCGCAGAUAUCAGGAGGAACACCGGUGGCGAAGGCGGUUCUCUGGGCCUUACCUGACACUGAGGAGCGAAAGCGUGGGGAGCGAACAGG